GUGGGGAAUAUUGGACAAUGGGCGCAAGCCUGAUCCAGCAAUGCCGCGUGGGUGAAGAAGGUCUUCGGAUCGUAAAGCCCUUUCGACAGGGACGAUGAUGACGGUACCUGUAGAAGAAGCCCCGGCUAACUUCGUGCCAGCAGCCGCGGUAAUACGAAGGGGGCUAGCGUUACUCGGAAUUACUGGGCGUAAAGGGCGCGUAGGCGGCUCUGUGAGUCAGGCGUGAAAUUCCUGGGCUUAACCUGGGGACUGCGCUUGAUACUGCGGGGCUUGAGGCCGAGAGAGGGUGGUGGAAUUCCCAGUGUAGAGGUGAAAUUCGUAGAUAUUGGGAAGAACACCGGUGGCGAAGGCGACCACCUGGCUCGGUACUGACGCUGAGGCGCGACAGCGUGGGGAGCAAACAGGAUUAGAUACCCCAGUAGUCC
rnacentral:rRNA from 1 species